UAAAAUAAGAAUUCAGAAACUAUAAACCGGCUCUCUUCUAGCUUACGACACAAACUAUGAGUGAGAAAAGGACAAAUGAUUCGCUCUUUGCUUCAUUUUUUCCGAGGUUGUCACAACAUGAAAUGUCAUUUGGACCUAUUGGACUCAUUUUAACUCGGCCAAAUACAUAGUAACAUACAUAAGAAGAUUUUACUUAUAUUUACCGAACUAUUUGACACGGUCGCGUCAACUGUGUUUACGAGUGUCUUGUGUUCAGAUUGUUUUAAGUGAUAAUUUAACAAUAUUUUUCCAAAUAAAUGGAAAGAAACUUUUAUUUAUAUCAAAUAAUUGAGUGUCUCGACUGUGUGACAUUAUGUCUUGUGUGGUAUGGGGCUGCAGCUCACAUUCAGGAAGAAAAGAAAAUAGCCAACAACUUCUGUCGUUUCAUCGAUAUUAAAUCCAAAAGUGUCGACUGGAUUUACAUGAAAAGUCAGUUCAAGAAGACGAGAUGAAAAAUUUAAAAGAAAAGCUGAACAAGUCCCGCCUCAAGAUCAAACGACUUAAUGAAAAAAAAAAAACAAUGUGACAGGGUGUCACAAAGACAGUUUCUAAGCAAAUUGACACUGUUUAGAAAUUAAUAAAUUUGUAUUUAUUGUAAAUAUAAUGUACAUAAUUAAUAACGUGUGAAAUAAAUACUUGCUAAUGAAAAUGAACAGAUUUACGAUCUAAUUUAUAUUUCAUUUUACCUCCUGUUCUUAUUUACUCCUACUCCAACACUCCAGGUUGAUACGAACUGCGCCCAAUAAAGAAUGUAAUGAAUGUUAUAGAUUUGUGUAAGCGACUUAGAUAAAUCUUGACUAAACCUUCCUUUACAAAUACAAAUAUACUUUAUUGCA